rnacentral:miRNA from 10 species
CAAAUUCGUUUCUCGGGCGUAU